AGGGGAAAAAUUAAUAAAUGGGGAAAAUUGAUAAAAAAAUUUUUAAAUAAAAAAUAUUAAAUUAUUUUAAUGGGGGUUAAAGUAUAUUAAUAGAAUAAAUUAAAAAUUUUAUAGAGAAUUAUGUAUUGUAAAAGAAAUUUGAAAUAAAUGAAAAUAAAUUUAAUUAAAAGUAAUUUUUAUUUGAUGUAUCUUGUGUAUCAGAGUUUAUUAAAAAAUAUUUUUUGAAAAAAAAAUUCUCGAAUUUAAGAGAGAUAAUUAAUUAUUAAAGUUAUUGUUGUAUAAAUAUUUUAAAUAGUUAAUUGGAAAUGAAAUGUUAGAUCGUUCUUAAAUAUAUCUAGUUUUUUUAGAAAAAAAUUUAAUUUUAAAUUUAUAUUAUUUAAUAAUUAAUUAAUUAAUUAUUAAAAAGUAAUUUAAAUUUUAUAUUUUAAGGGAUAAUCUUUAAUUUAAAUAAGUAUAAUAAAUAUUAAAUUAUUAUGAAAAUUAUAUAAUUUAAAUUGUUAAUAAAUUUUAAUUUAUUAUAAAUAAUUUCAUAUUAAAAAUAAGAUUUAAUUAAAAAUUUAUUUUUUUUAUAAAAAAAAAAUUUAAAAUAAAAUAAUAUUAGUUAUAAUGAUAAAAUUAGUAUAUAUAUUAUACAUAAUAGAUAAAUAAAGUAAGUGUUAAAAUAAUUAAAUUAAUUAAAAGGAAUUUGGCAAAAUUUUAUAUUCACUUGUUUAACAAAAACAUGUCUUUUUGAAAAUAAUUUAAAGUCUGAUCUGCCCACUGAUUUAAAAUUAAAGGGCUGCAGUAUAUUGACUGUACAAAGGUAGCAUAAUCAUUAGUCAUUUAAUUGAUGACUUGUAUGAAAGAUUGGAUGAAAUAUAAACUGUCUCUUAAUUAAUUUGUAGAAUUUAAUUUUUUAAUUAAAAAGUUAAAAUAAGUUAAAAAGACGAGAAGACCCUAUAGAGUUUUAUAGUUUGAAAAAUUUAAUUUAUUUAUAAAAUUAAAAGUUUAAAUUUAAUGAAUUAUUUUAUUGGGGUGAUGAAAAAAUAAAAAUAACUUUUUUAAUAAAAAACAUAAAUAAGUGAAUUGAUGAUCCAAUUUUAUUGAUUAUAAGAAAAAAUUACCUUAGGGAUAACAGCGUAAUUUUUUUUUUUAGUUCAAAUAAAAAAAAAAGUUUGCGACCUCGAUGUUGGAUUAAAAUAAAAUUUAAAUGCAAAAGUUUAAAAUUUUGAUCUGUUCGAUCAUUAAAAUCUUACAUGAUCUGAGUUCAAACCGGUGUGAGCCAGGUUGGUUUCUAUCUUUUAAAAAAUAAAAUAUUUUAGUACGAAAGGAUUAAAUAUUUAAAUUAAAUUUAUAUAAGUGAAUUUUAUUAAAUUAAAUAUAAAAAAAAUUAUUAUUAUUAUAUUAAAUUUAUAAAUAAUAAAUGAUAAUAUAUACAAAUAUAUAUAUAUAUAUAUAUAUAUAUAUAUAAUAUUAAUAUAAUUUAUUAUAU
rnacentral:rRNA from 1 species